rnacentral:lncRNA from 1 species
AUCAAUAAAUAGGCAAGUUUAAUUUUUAUUCAAAAGUGAAGUGUCCUUGAAUCAUAUAUAAAAUUAAUACUUCGAUAUAUAUUCUCAAGGUGUUGAGAAUUGGAGGCAUGUAUAAUUAAUUUCUAAAUGCUUUCGAUCAUAAUAUCAUCUUAAGGACGGUGAUCGAUCUGAAUAGAUCGAUGCAUAGAUCACUUCUUUCGAGGU